GAGACACGGCCAGACUCUACGGAGGCCAGCAGUGGGGAUAUGACCAAUGGCGCAGCUGAUCCAGUCAUGGCCGCGUGUGUGAAGAAGGUCUUUUGGGUGUAAAGCACUUUAAGCGAGGAGGAGGGCUACUUGGAUUAAUACUCUAGGAUAGUGGACGUUACUCGCAGAAUAAGCACCGGCUAACUCUGUGCCAGCAGCCGCGGUAAUACAGAGGGUGCGAGCGUUAAUCGGAUUUACUGGGCGUAAAGCGUGCGUAGGCGGCUUUUUAAGUCGGAUGUGAAAUCCCUGAGCUUAACUUAGGAAUUGCAUUCGAUACUGGGAAGCUAGAGUAUGGGAGAGGAUGGUAGAAUUCCAGGUGUAGCGGUGAAAUGCGUAGAGAUCUGGAGGAAUACCGAUGGCGAAGGCAGCCAUCUGGCCUAAUACUGACGCUGAGGUACGAAAGCAUGGGGAGCAAACAGGAUUAGAUACCCUGGUAGUCCAUGCCGUAAACGAUGUCUACUAGCCGUUGGGGCCUUUGAGGCUUUAGUGGCGCAGCUAACGCGAUAAGUAGACCGCCUGGGGAGUACGGUCGCAAGACUAAAACUCAAAUGAAUUGACGGGGGCCCGCACAAGCGGUGGAGCAUGUGGUUUAAUUCGAUGCAACGCGAAGAACCUUACCUGGUCUUGACAUAGUAAGAACUUUCCAGAGAUGGAUUGGUGCCUUCGGGAACUUACAUACAGGUGCUGCAUGGCUGUCGUCAGCUCGUGUCGUGAGAUGUUGGGUUAAGUCCCGCAACGAGCGCAACCCUUUUCCUUAUUUGCCAGCGGGUUAAGCCGGGAACUUUAAGGAUACUGCCAGUGACAAACUGGAGGAAGGCGGGGACGACGUCAAGUCAUCAUGGCCCUUACGACCAGGGCUACACACGUGCUACAAUGGUCGGUACAAAGGGUUGCUACCUAGCGAUAGGAUGCUAAUCUCAAAAAGCCGAUCGUAGUCCGGAUUGGAGUCUGCAACUCGACUCCAUGAAGUCGGAAUCGCUAGUAAUCGCGGAUCAGAAUGCCGCGGUGAAUACGUUCCCGGGCCU
rnacentral:rRNA from 1 species